UCCACUACUCAGUUGGUAGAGUCCAAAGCUCUUAACCUUGUGGACAUGGGUUCAAGCCCCAUGGUGGAG
rnacentral:tRNA from 1 species